ACUCUAAACCCUACGACUCUUUUCUCUUCUCUCUUAUUCUACUUUUGUGGAUUUUCAGCUCUUCCUCAGCCAUGGCAAAGAAUAUCCACUCUAUUUUGGUACAAGGAUUCUUAUUAUCUCUCUCUUCUCGAAGCAAGUCUUGUUUUCUUCCUCGAAGUGAUAAUUCGUACACUUUAAUCCUUAUAAGACAAAGUGAAUCUCUCCAUUUCGAGUGCUUUCUGAAGCAAAUCACGUGAACGCCUCAAAGGAUCGGAUUUGAACAACUCCUUUGACCAUAAAUUCAAAAUCAAAUCAAGAAUUCCCGCUCAAGAGCAAACCCUAUAUUUUUCAAUAUAAAUACUUGCAUAUCGGAUCACUUUUGGACAGGUUGGAGCCGCCGCUCGAAUACUACUGUAAACACCACUGUUUUUCUUACUCUUCUCGUCUCUUAUAAACUCUCAUAAAGAACUUUCAAACUUUAUACUGUCUCGGUGUACUUUAGCCGCGAUAGAGGUGUUCGAACCCGUUCGACUCGAGGUUCGAAUCUUUUCAUAACGAGAGAAUAGAUUCGAGGUGGAAGCCCCAGUUCACUGCCCAAAAACAGCAUUCUUGAGUCUUGCUUUGAGAUUCGACGAUGCCGCAGCACUGUACGCGCAUGGAGUCGACACCCUUAUACAUUAUCACACUGCCUGAUACAAAGACAAACAACUAUAUUAUUCUUAUGGGAUGCUAGCUGAGAAGCUAGUCAAAUUAUCCCUUUGAUUCCUAAUUGUUCAUUUAACUUUUCCUCUCUGUGGUUGACUAUUUUAAACACAUACUUUCAUGUUGGGACUUUUACUGAUAUGCGAUGUUAUAUUUAGUCAGGUGAUUACUUCA